AAUAAAGCGUGAAGGAUAACGUUGCGUCAGCAACGGCCCGUAGGGCGAGGCGAAGCCGAGUCAUCCUGCACGACCCACCG
rnacentral:sRNA from 1 species